AGGACGAACGCUGGCGGCGUGCUUAACAUAUGCAAGUCAAGGGGGCCCAGCAAUGGGCAACCGGCGAACGGGUGCGUAACACGUGAGCAACCUACCGAAAUGUGGGGGAUAGCCGGCCUAACGGCCGAGUAAUACCGCAUACGCUCUCGAUGAGGCAUUUCAUUGAGAGGAAACCUACGGGACAUUUCGAGGGGCUCGCGGCCUAUCAGCUAGUUGGCGAGGUAACGCUCACCAAGGCAACGACGGGUAGC
rnacentral:rRNA from 1 species